GGGGAAUUUUGGACAAUGGGCGCAAGCCUGAUCCAGCCAUUCCGCGUGCAGGAUGAAGGCCCUCGGGUUGUAAACUGCUUUUGUACGGAACGAAACGGCGCUUUCUAACACAGAGCGCUAAUGACGGUACCGUAAGAAUAAGCAACGGCUAACUACGUGCCAGCAGCCGCGGUAAUACGUAGGGUGCAAGCGUUAAUCGGAAUUACUGGGCGUAAAGCGUGCGCAGGCGGUGAUGUAAGACAGAUGUGAAAUCCCCGGGCUCAACCUGGGAACUGCAUUUGUGACUGCAUCGCUGGAGUGCGGCAGAGGGGGAUGGAAUUCCGCGUGUAGCAGUGAAAUGCGUAGAGAUGCGGAGGAACACCGAUGGCGAAGGCAGCCCCCUGGGCUAACACUGACGCUCAGGCACGAAAGCGUGGGGAGCAAAC
rnacentral:rRNA from 1 species